GUUCAUAUACAUUGGACGUCAUAUUCUAAUUGACAGACUCGGGCAAGGGUUUCCCUCAGCUGAAUAAAAUCGCCAGAAUAAAAUAACUAAGUGGGUCGCUACCCUUUAAAGGGUUAAUGAAAUGUAGUAUAGGCCUACGUGUCAAAAAAAAAAUAUGAAUUGUGGAUUACAAAGGAGUGUUUACAACCGAGGCAAACGGUGUCUCCUCUGUCGCCAUCUUUAGGCCGGUGGGUCAACUACACCUGAGGCUGCCCUACACACUUUUCUCUCAAUUUUAAUCAUAAAUACUGAGUCGUGUGGCUGCUAUGCGACACGAGCGUCAUCGACAGUGGAUCACAGGAGAACGGUCUAGUGAAAACCACUAUGCUCCUGCUGCUAGAACUGACUCGUAUUAAACAUGUGUUAUGUAGAAGAUGUCUCCAUUAUAUUUCAAUCUCGGUAAAAGUCGCAGAUUUAAAUUUCAUAUCAGUUAGGGACAUGAUGAUUUAAAACACUAGUUUUAUGUAAAUAGAGAGAUGAUUAUUAUUUUCAUGUCCUUUGUAAUGUCUGCAAAUCCAUCAUUUACUUCAUAAAUACAGUCUGCUCAACACUCCUGGUGUCAUUAAUUAAGGAAUGGCUGUUACUAAACUGCACUUCAGUUGUGAGUAUUGGAAUUAACACCAUCCUACCUGAUCUUUUGUGCUGGAUGUAUAUAUAUUGGAGUUAUUAAUAAAAAGAAAAUAAAUUA